CCCCUGCGUUCAAGCUUCAACUGCCGCUGCCUCAGAAUAUCCUUGGCACAAAUAUAAGCUUGUGACAACAACAGCAGCUGACUAUUAUGUGGAUUCACCAGGUAAUUCUGGAAAUGAGAAGCCCAAUUAUUUUUUCCUUUUAAAUUUCAGUGACCACUUAAGAUUUCUGCUUUAAACACUUUUCCCAUGAUUUUCUGUCAAUAAAAUAUGCACACAACUCCAUACUUUUUUUUUGUCAAUUAACAAAAUUUAAGAUAGAAUUGUGUUACUACAGCUAUUAAAAUUAGCACAGAAGAUGCUCCAGGAUGUCAAAUAAUUCAUUUCUAUCACAAAACCCAAUUAAAGAGGGACAUUUAGAGCCCUUAGGAAUUAUAAAAUUAUCUUCCUUUAUGGCAACUAGCUUUCUAAAAAAGACAGAUCCUUAAUCUUUGUAUCUUUUCAGAGGAUUCAGUUAACAUUUGUAAUUCUAGUGCUUUAGGAAAUUGACCUAACAACUCUGAAUUUUGAUUUGUUAUUUCUAAGAUCAGGACAAUAAAUCUAUAAUUCAAAAAUCUUACAAGAGGUAAUAUUGAGAUGAGACAGUUGAGUAUGGUGGAUAGGAAAACAGACAUGGAAACAAACACCUGAAUUAGGGUACCAACUCUAUCACUUACUAGUUGGUAAACUUGGUGAAUUUAUCUAACCUCUCCAUGCCUUCAUUUCCUCAACUGUAAAAUGGGCACUAAUAGUACCUAUCUCAUAAGUUGCUGUUAUGACUACAUGAGUUAAUAUACAUAAAGUAUUUAGUGUCUGGCAUAUAAGUACUACAUACAUACAAAUUUUUAUUCUCAUGUAAAUUCAUAUUAUUCUCUGAAUAUAAUAUUUAAAAAAUAUUUCAAAGGGAAUAGCAUUAUAAUUUUAAUCAAACAAUGAAUUAUUCUACAUUUUUUUACUUUGUAAAUUUAUAGUUAAGCUAGCUAUUUCCUCAUUGUCCCUCCUACCCCACCCAACUUCUCAAUCCUGAAAAUUUUUGAAAGGCUAAGACAUAGCCUAUAUUAACAGCAUUUCUGUUUCAUGUUUUCAUAAAUGGUAGAACUGAAACUUCAAAAUAUCCAACUAAAAUUCUCACUUAAUGAAUACUUAAAAUGUAAAACCUGUGAUCAGUAAUUUACUUUAGUAGCACAUAUAAACAAAAUAUAGGAAGCAUUUCCCUUAACUUUUUCUACAAAUGUAGUUUUCUUAAAUACACUUUCUAAGACUGCUUAAUACCUCAAUAAGAUUGGGAAAUCCAGCAGAGGGCAGACAGAAAUAGAAGAAUACAUCCAAACAACUCAGAUUUUAUGUAAAACCCUCCAAAACACAACGUUAGCAUAAAGUAUUAACUGGGAUAUAUUUCUUUCAUGCCAAUUUCAACUGUAUUUUUGUUUGUCAAGUCAUUAAUUUUAAAUUUCAUUAUUUAAAUACCCAGAGUGAAACCAAAGAAACAAAACUUUUUUUUUUCUUCUCUGGUGAUAUGGACAUGAGUUAUUUCACAAUCAUGAUUAUUACAUAGAUUUUAAAACCAUACAUAAUUUUAUUUAAACAAUUUUCACUUUUAAUUCACUGACAGUAAGGGUAUACUGCUGUGCAUAGUAUAAAAUAAUAAAUGCCAUUAUUUUGACCAAAUUAAUAUUUCUCAUUCUGUGCACUGCUUUAUAUUACUUUCAUAUUAGUUCUUCCACAUAACAAUAAAUAGUUUAAGGCAUCAGUUGUGUAAGUAAGAUAGUAUCGUUAUUUAAUAUGCAUUCUUAAAAUUACUGCCAAGCAGGAUCAUAAUAAAAUGUGACCUGAUAUGCAGUGCUAUUAGAUAAAUAAACCAGUAUAACCUUUCUGAAAAGCCAUUUGGCAAUAUAUACCAACAACCUUCAUUUUCACCCAACUUCUAGAAAGUGAUUCUAAGAAAAUAGCCAAAAAUAUUUUUUAAAGUUUUUUAUGCAAAGACGUUUAUUACAGUCUGACUUACAAUAUGAAAAAACAGCUUAAGUAAAUUAUGGUUCAGCAUAUGGCAGAGUCCCAUAGGAUCAUUAAGAAUUAUAUUUAUGAGAAUCUCUGCUGUGUGGCAUAGUGGGUUAAGAAUCCAACUGCAGCAGCUCAAGUUGCUGUAGAGGUGCGGGUUCGAUCCCCAGGUGCAGUGCUAUAGGUUAAAGGAGUGUUGCUGCAGCUGCAGUGUAGGUUGCAACUGUGGCUCAGAUUCAGUCCCUGGCCCUGGAACUUCCAUAUGCUGUGGGUGCAGCCAUAAAAAUAAAAAAAUAAAAAAGAAUUAUUUUUAUGGAGAGUUUUGUAAAAAAAAAAAAAAAUUCUGUGUUAUAAGGUUACGUUUAAAAGGAAAAGUGGAACAAUUUAUCAUUUAAGUCAAAUUAAAAAUACAUAGAAAAAAAUGAAUGGAACACAGUACAACCAAAUGUUAAUAAUGCUAUCUUGUGAAUGGUGGGAUUAUUAGGUGAUUUUUUUCUUCAUCAUGUUUCUGUUUUCAAGAUUUUCUAAAUUGUACAUUAUCCAUUUUCAUAAUGAGAUAAAAACUUAUAACAAUAAUUCAUACCAAAAUAGAUUACUGUUAAUCUCAUUAAAGAAGUACUGAUGGCAAGUGUAUAUGUUUGGAGGAAAGGCCAAUUAGAAAAGCUGAACUUGGAUUUCCCAUUGUGGCUUAGCAGGUUAAGGACUUGAAGUUGUCUCUGUGAGGAUAUGGGUUUGAUCCUUGGCCUUGCUCAGUAGGUUAAGGAUCCAGCAUUGCUGU
rnacentral:lncRNA from 1 species